rnacentral:rRNA from 1 species
CCUACGGGUUGCACCAGUGGGGAAUUUUCCGCAAUGGGCGAAAGCCUGACGGAGCAAUCUCGCGUGAGGGAUGACGGCCUAUGGGUUGUAAACCUCUUUUUUCAGGGAGGAACAAAAUGACGUGUACCUGAAGAAUAAGCAUCGGCUAACUCCGUGCCAGCAGCCGCGGUAAGACGGAGGAUGCAAGUGUUAUCCGGAAUCACUGGGCGUAAAGCGUCUGUAGGUGGUUUAAUAAGUCAACUGUUAAAUCUUGAAGCUCAACUUCAAAAUCGCAGUCGAAACUAUUAGACUAGAGUAUAGUAGGGGUAAAGGGAAUUUCCAGUGGAGCGGUGAAAUGCGUAGAGAUUGGAAAGAACACCGAUGGCGAAGGCACUUUACUGGGCUAUUACUGACACUCAGAGACGAAAGCUAGGGUAGCAAAUGGGAUUAGAUACCCGAGUAGUC